CAAUAGCGUAUAUUAAAGUUGUUGCAGUUAAAAAGCUCGUAGUUGGAUUUCUGGUGAGAUGGAUUAUGUCUAGGUCGAAAGAUCUUGUUCAUGGUUCGUUUUGCCCUUCUUGUCAGGAACCCGCUGAGAUUCGCGUCUUGUCGGUGGAAUGGCAUCGUUUACUGUGAAAAAAUUAGAGUGUUCAAAGCAGGCAUCGCCGUUGAAUACAUUAGCAUGGAAUAAUAAGAUAAGACUUUGGUGGUCUAUUUUGUUGGUUUGCACGCCAAAGUAAUGAUUAAUAGGGAUAGUUGAGGGUAUUCGUAUUCUAUUGCUAGAGGUGAAAUUCUUAAAUUUAUGGAAGACGAACUACUGCGAAAGCAUUUACCAAGGAUGUUUUCAUUAA
rnacentral:rRNA from 1 species